UACGUAGGUGGCAAGCGUUGUCCGGAUUUAUUGGGUUUAAAGGGUGCGUAGGCGGUCAUGUAAGUCAGCGGUGAAAUCCGGCAGCUCAACUGUCGAUGUGCCAUUGAUACUGCAUGACUUGAGUACUGAUGAGGUAGGCGGAAUUGACGGUGUAGCGGUGAAAUGCAUAGAUAUGUCACAGAACACCGAAUUGCGAAGGCAGCUUACUAUGGUGUCAUUGACGCUGAGGCACGAAAGCGUGGGGAUCAAACAGG
rnacentral:rRNA from 1 species